CCCGAGGAGGGAGCCCGGGAGCUGACUCAGCGGAGCAGCCUGGCAUGUCUUCCCGGGAGCACGGCUUCCCUGCCGGAGCCUGCGGAGGGCAUGUAAACUCAAAGAGAGAAGGGAAAUCUCGUCAUGGGCGGUAACAAGAUCUGUGUCAUGAAGCAAAGGACCAGUCACUAACCGGAGCACUCCACAGCAGCAUCUUCUUUAUGAUCACAGUUUUUGCCAAACAAAGGUUUGGCAGGACAGUCCCAAAGAGAUAGUUCUGUUCCUUUGCAGUGCACCUUCUCCAACCAGAUGGGACCAGUCCCUUCCCCAAAGGCAGCUUCACUCAGAGCAGACAGAGCAGAUCCACAGCCCAGCUGCCUGCAUACAACAUUAGCAUCUGCCAAAUCCCAGGAAUCAUCACAGACUGUUCCCCAAGAGCCUUGCUGCCAAAUCUCCACUCUGCCUGAACAUCCAUACUCUCCUCCUAUGAGUCGUAACUUCUCCCUAUCUGGAAAACACAGAAACCUUCUGUGUUACUGAAACAGCAGGAAGGUCCAUAGGGACCAAUAAGGAGAAAUGAAGAGGUGAAUGUACCUGAACAGCUUGUAGAGUUUGGACACUCAGCAAAUGUGGCUGGAGAUGUUGCCUCUUUUCUUCCUGCAGAAUUGAAAUACUGAAGUAAAUAUUCUCUGAAAAGAGAGAAGGAGUAUAAAAUGCCUGAAAAUUAAUCAUAAAGGUGGGUUUUUUUCCUAUAAUAGAUCCACGGCCUAUCUAGUACUUGGUGGAUCGCUCUUUGGCUACUGCUAUGAAUAAGAUAACCUUCCUGAUGACUGUGCUUUGUCCCUUCUUGUAUGAGGCAGUUGCAAUCCCUUUCAGGAGAUCUGAAUGUCAUCUAGGACUCAUUUAUAUUAUAUUGGGAACCCGCAGGUAUGAAAUACUGUCAUAAGAGCAGGCAUUAGAAAUGGACCUUUAGAACUGAACUAAUACAUACAUUUUGUCAUGGCUACACGCAUGCAUAUGAGUACAUGUACAUAUGCACUGAUAUCCCUCCUUACAUGUAGAAAUACAUACAUGCCUCUAGACUUCUUGAGAAGUCUGAUCCUAACUCAGAUCUCUCAGACUGAUUUUCUAUCAUAGAUUUUUGCUUUAAAAAUAUGCAAUGGUACUAUCCUAUGACGGAGUUCCUUGGGAUUUCUCCCAGGUAACUGCACUCAAUGA